rnacentral:lncRNA from 1 species
GCUGGCGGCCGUCCCCUGGCGAGCGGACGGCAGGGCCUCCCGUCCCCGCCCCGCGGCCUGGCACCGGCGGACGGUGUGAAGGGGCGUUUCUCCUCCCCAGCCCCUCUGUCGGCUCAGACUUCGAGCCGCCAGGUUUCGCUGCGCGGAGGUUUGAGGUGCCGAUUCCCACUGCCGUGUAGCUGGGAACGGGCGCUGCCCCGUCGGGAACGGGCAGGAGGCAAGGCCGCAAGGAGGCGGAACGGAGCUUUACUUCAUGUCUUCCUUGAAAACGCUUACCGGUGCUGGGCUCGCCUCCGGAGGGGUGGCAGCAAAAGGCUCCGCCGGGCGGUGACGGGGCCCUCCUGGCCAGCGGGAACGAGGAGUCACUGCUCCUUACAACGGCGGCAAGCCGCCAGGGGGCGGCGUUAAAGUGUAGUGAACCCGGGCUUUUUAUAAGAGCAAGUAGUGAUAGGGCAAGGGGGGGUGGCUUUAAACUGAAAUAGGGUAGAUUUAGGUUACAUUUUAAGAAGUUCUUCACAGUGAGCGUCGUGAGACACUGGAACAGGUUGCCCAGAGAAGUUGUGGAUGUCCCAGCCCUGGAAGUGUCCAAGGCCAGGCUGGACGGGGCUUUGAGCAACCUGAUCCGGUGGAAGGUGUCCUUGCCCAUGGCAGGAGGGUUGGAACUAGAUGAGCUUUAAGGUCUUUUCCAACCUAAACCGUUCUAUGAUUCUAUAAUUUUGCUUGUUUCCUCAGAAGCAUGGGUCAUCCCCCUGCAGCUGGGUUAUUCCGCCUUGACACCUGCCUUGACCCGGGAGCAGCCCCUGCUGUGCCAUCUACGUUAUCAUGUUUAAUGAGAGAAUGGGUAGAAUAGCUCUGAACCAAGAGAGCUUUCUUUGGCUAGAUGAGCCAUUAUCUAGCAUUUAUACAGCCUUUUUCAAAGCAAUGAGAUAAGCAGGUCGAAAAAAUAAACAGGAACAAAGGAACAGAGAAGGCUGAGAGCACGAACUGCAGAACUAGAGAUGGAGAAGUGGGAUGGAGCUUGAAACUAGUCUGUCAAAAAAAGGGAAGAAAAAAAAAA